rnacentral:rRNA from 1 species
AUUGAACGCUGGCGGCAGGCUUAACACAUGCAAGUCGAACGAGUGGCGGACGGGUGAGUAAUGCUUGGGAAUCUAGCUUAUGGAGGGGGAUAACUACGGGAAACUGUAGCUAAUACCGCAUACCAUAGGAUGAGCCCAAGUGGGAGUAGGUAGUUGGGGAGGUAAAGGCUCACCAAGCCGACGAUCUCUAGCUGGUCUGAGAGGAUGACCAACCACACUGGGAAUGAGAAACGGCCCAGACUCCUACGGGAGGCAGCAGUGGGUAAUAUUGCGCAAUGGGGGCAACCCUGAUGCAGCCAUGCCGCAUGUAUGAAGAAGGCCUUAGGGUUGUAAAGUACUGUCAGCGGGGAGGCGUUACCCGCAGAAGAAGCACCGGCUAACUCCGUGCCAGCAGCCGCGGUAAUUC